AUUGAACGCUGGCGGCAGGCUUAACACAUGCAAGUCGAGCGGAGAGAGGUAGCUUGCUACCGAUCUUAGCGGCGGACGGGUGAGUAAUGCUUAGGAAUCUGCCUAUUAGUGGGGGACAACAUUUCGAAAGGAAUGCUAAUACCGCAUACGUCCUACGGGAGAAAGCAGGGGAUCUUCGGACCUUGCGCUAAUAGAUGAGACUAAGUCGGAUUAGCUAGUUGGUGGGGUAAAGGCCUACCCAGGCGACGAUCUGUAGCGGGUCUGAGAGGAUGAUCCGCCACACUGGGACUGAGACACGGCCCAGACUCCUACGGGAGGCAGCAGUGGGGAAUAUUGGACAAUGGGCGCAAGCCUGAUCCAGCCAUGCCGCGUGUGUGAAGAAGGCCUUAUGGUUGUAAAGCACUUUAAGCGAGGAGGAGGCUACUUUAGUUAAUACCUAGAGAUAGUGGACGUUACUCGCAGAAUAAGCACCGGCUAACUCUGUGCCAGCAGCCGCCGUAAUAC
rnacentral:rRNA from 1 species